AGGCUGGCACGGGCGUUCAGUGCCACACUAGCGAUGUGUUGGGUCGUUUCGCCCGUGUGAGUGCGCGCGCGUGAGCUCACUGAGUAGCACCGUCGUGUUGUGUCGUUUUCGCAGAGCAGACGAUCUCCAGUGUAGUGAACAUAGAUUUCCAACUUCGAAGGAUUGUUGAAGCCUUAUAGUAUAAAUGGAUAAUUGUUGUGUUUUUUUGUAACGAAAGAAAGAGAGAAAAAAAUCUCAUGAUUUGAAAAAGGAUUAGAAAUUUUGUUAAGUGUUUGUUGAAGUUCAAAAGGAAUUUUUGAUUGAAGACUGAAGAAAGAAGAAGUUUGCCUGGAGUUCCUGAAGCAAAAAGUGUGAGGAGCCCGAGGCGAACGUGGUCUUCGCUUUACAAGGUAAGAAUAAGUAUCUGUCGCCUUCGUAGCUUCUUUACG
rnacentral:lncRNA from 1 species